rnacentral:rRNA from 1 species
AUUGAACGCUGGCGGCAGGCCUAACACAUGCAAGUCGAGCGGAGCGGCGGACGGGUGAGUAAUGCCUAGGAAUAUGCCUGGUCGUGGGGGAUAACGUCCGGCAACGGGCGCUAAUACCGCAUACUAUCAGAUGAGCCUAGGUCGGAUUCGCUAGUUGGUGGGGUAAAGGCGUACAAAGGCGACGAUCCGUAACUGGUCUGAGAGGAUGAGCAGUCACACGGGAACUGAGACACGGGCCAGACUCCUACGGGAGGCAGCAUUGGGGAAGAUUGGACAAGGGGCGAAAGCCUGAUCAAGCCAUGCCGCGUGGGUGAAGAAGGUCUUCGGAUUGUAAAGCACUUUAAGUUGGGAGGCGUUACCAACAGAAUAAGCACCGGCUAACUUCGUGCCAGCAGCCGCGGUAAUAC